AGAGUUUGAUCCUGGCUCAGGACGAACGCUGGCGGCGUGCUUAACACAUGCAAGUCGAACGAUGAAGCGGUGCUUGCACCGUGGAUUAGUGGCGAACGGGUGAGUAAUACGUGAGUGACCUACCUUUGACUCUGGGAUAAGCCUGGGAAACUGGGUCUAAUACCGGAUACGACCAAUCUCCGCAUGGGGUGUUGGUGGAAAGCGUUAUGGAGUGGUUUUAGAUGGGCUCACGGCCUAUCAGCUUGUUGGUGAGGUAAUGGCUUACCAAGGCGACGACGGGUAGCCGGCCUGAGAGGGUGACCGGCCACACUGGGACUGAGACACGGCCCAGACUCCUACGGGAGGCAGCAGUGGGGAAUAUUGCACAAUGGGCGCAAGCCUGAUGCAGCGACGCCGCGUGAGGGAUGACGGCCUUCGGGUUGUAAACCUCUGUUAGCAUCGAAGAAGCGAAAGUGACGGUAGGUGCAGAGAAAGCGCCGGCUAACUACGUGCCAGCAGCCGCGGUAAUACGUAGGGCGCGAGCGUUGUCCGGAAUUAUUGGGCGUAAAGAGCUUGUAGGCGGUUGGUCGCGUCUGCUGUGAAAGGCUGGGGCUUAACCCUGGUUUUGCAGUGGGUACGGGCUAACUAGAGUGCAGUAGGGGAGACUGGAAUUCCUGGUGUAGCGGUGGAAUGCGCAGAUAUCAGGAGGAACACCGAUGGCGAAGGCAGGUCUCUGGGCUGUAACUGACGCUGAGAAGCGAAAGCAUGGGGAGCGAACAGGAUUAGAUACCCUGGUAGUCCAUGCCGUAAACGUUGGGCACUAGGUGUGGGGGACAUUCCACGUUUUCCGCGCCGUAGCUAACGCAUUAAGUGCCCCGCCUGGGGAGUACGGCCGCA
rnacentral:rRNA from 1 species